rnacentral:tRNA from 1 species
GCUCCAGUGGUGUAGUCCGGCCAAUCAUCCGGCCCUUUCGAGGCCGGGACUCGGGUUCAAAUCCCGGCUGGAGCAC